CGCGGGGUCUCUCCCCCGUUUCCAGGAAGUGACGUCGGCGGAUCCAUGGAGGACCUGCUGGAGCAGGGCGAGGAGCGGCGCCGGGGCUCGUCGGCCUUCAGAGCCAAGAUGGGCCGCCGAGCUCAGCAGGCACCCAGUCAAGCCCAGGAGAGCCAUGUGAGCAGCAGGAAUUCUUCAGGUUUGAUGGGCGAGGGGCCGCCGCCCAAGCCACCCCGCAGGCAGGGCGGGUGGACGGACGAUUCCUUGAGGAUGUCCCGGUUGGGGAGGAAGGCCUCGGAAGAAACCAAAAACCAGCGCCUCAGACAGCAGAGCCAGGAGACCUUGGAUGACGGUGGAGCCCCUCACCCCGCAGACAUCCCUGUCAUCCCGGACUUGGAUGAGAUCCAGGAGGAGGACUUCGUCCUACAGGUGGCUGCCCCUCCCAGGCACGUGAGCUCAGGGCCCUGGGGGUGGGGGUGGGGCACCUCUGGGACAGGCACAGCCGCCCUCACAGCCCCUUCCCUGCAGCCUCCAGGCAAACCGUGUGAUGACCUUCCGUGACCUGGACAAUGACCUGACCCAGUCCUCGGCCUUCCAGACGCUGGACGACAUCGACCUGAAGGUCCUAACCAGGGUCCUGGCACCGCAGCAGGACGUGCGGGAGGAUGAUGUCCACUGGGACUGGGACCGGCUAUACACGGAGGUGUGCUCCGAGUUGCUCACCGAGUAGGAGGCCAGGCGGAGGAGAUUGCCCCGGUUCUGCCCUCGAUGCCCCAGCCCACACGGGAGCCCAGGGGCUGGAAAAUGCCGCGUCGUCCUACUCAGAUGGUUGUUUCUGGCCCACUGGUGCGGAAUAAAGGCGUUUGUUCCAUGGA